rnacentral:rRNA from 1 species
GACGAACGCUGGCGGCGUGCCUAACACAUGCAAGUCGAACGAAGAAUGUUUUUCGGAAUAUUCUUAGUGGCGGACGGGUGAGUAACGCGUGAACAAUCUGCCCCGUACAAAGGGAUAGCCUCGGGGAAACCGGGAUUAAAACCAUAUAACACUUAACUGCCGCAUGGUAGUGAAGUCAAAUCGAUUAAGAGGUAUGGGAUGAGUUCGCGUCUGAUUAGCUAGUUGGUGAGGUAAGGGCUCACCAAGGCGACGAUCAGUAGCCGGCCUGAGAGGGUGAACGGCCACACUGGAACUGAGACACGGUCCAGACUCCUACGGGAGGCAGCAGUGGGGGAUAUUGCACAAUGGAGGGAACUCUGAUGCAGCGACGCCGCGUGAGUGAAGAAGGUCUUCGGAUCGUAAAACUCUGUCCUUGGUGAAGAAAAGGACGGUAGCCAAGGAGGAAGCCCCGGCUAACUACGUG